UACGUAGGGGGCGAGCGUUGUCCGGAUUUAUUGGGCGUAAAGAGCUCGUAGGCGGUUGGGUAAGUCGGGUGUGAAAACUCAGGGCUCAACUCUGAGACGCCACUCGAUACUGCUCUGACUCGAGUCCGGUAGGGGAGCGUGGAAUUCCCGGUGUAGCGGUGAAAUGCGCAGAGUAUCGGGAAGGAACGACCAGUGGCCGAAGGCGGAGCGCCUCUGGGUACCGG
rnacentral:rRNA from 1 species